GACGUAGGGCGCGAGCGUUGUCCGGAUUUAUUGGGCGUAAAGAGCUCGUAGGUGGCUUGUUGGCGUCUGCCGUGAAAGCCCGUGGCUUAACUACGGGUCUGCGGUGGAUACGGGCAGGCUAGAGGCUGGUAGGGGCAAGCGGAAUUCCUGGUGUAGCGGUGAAAUGCGCAGAUAUCAGGAGGAACACCGGUGGCGAAGGCGGCUUGCUGGGCCAGUUCUGACGCUGAGGAGCGAAAGCGUGGGGAGCGAACAGG
rnacentral:rRNA from 1 species